CACGUAUGCACGUGGCCGCAGACGACAGAUAUUUCGCAAAGUUCUGGGAUUUCGUGAAAUUUUUUUGUCCUUAAACACAGUUUUUGUUGGUUUGAAUUCGGCCAUUUACAACGAUUUUCCGCGGGCUUCUCUCCACUUCAUUUUUCUCGGCCAUCACGUACAACAUGUACAUCAUGUACAUCCAGAAGGGCAAAAAUGGCUGUUAUGAAAGAAUGACCCAUCUUCAAUCCUCGAAGACGUGGAGUGCAGGAAUUUAUAGAACUCAAUGCAUUGAAACAACCAACUGUGGUGUUGUCUGAAAGGACAGAUGCUGAGGAAGCUUUGCCCGGAGGAAGGUCCCAGCCAAGGUAGUGGCAACUAAGCCAAGAAAUACUUAGGGAAUCGCUUUCUGGAAAUGCCAGAAUUUCCAGAUACAUGAAAAGCAGCAUGAGCUUUGGUGGAAGGAAGUGAGAACACAGAUGGAUUUUCGGCCUCCUGUUUUCCAAAACCUUUGAUGGAAUGUGAAGGUGCAGAAGAUUUGCAAGAGGUGGAAUUGGACAGUGUCUCGGGGAAUCUAAAGCGCCUCCACCUGAUGAUCCAGACUGGACAAUUGUACAGGUCCUGCUGGUAUACAAGCUAAGAACUGUCCACCUCCUUAGGGUUGGAGCGGCAUCGGUCAUACCACUACCAACGUCUCAAUGGAAUUGGUUGACUGCAUUAUGACUGGAGACAAGGAUGAAGGAAUCUACGAUGUCAUUGCAAGAACAAGCAAUCUAAGGAUACAAGCACCUCCUCUAGAAAAAACGAGGUAAUUGAAGCUGCUAGAGGACCAUGACAUGACUUCCCUGUCGUAAACAAGCUGGGCAUGGACAAGGAUCACAUCAGCCAAGUCUAAAUUUCUGUGGAUUUCGACAACUGUGGAUUUCAUUGGGAUCGGCUCAUCACGAUAGGACCCCUACCAUUCUUACUGGAAAAGGCAUCAUCUGUGGUUGAUGAUUGACGCGUCUCCAGUUUCUUUGCUUGAACCAGCCGGAGCCGGAAAAUUCAAGGUGUGUGGAUAGCAUAAUCCCAAUAGAUGUCCGGAACUGGAAUUUGAUGAAAUCGUUUGCACUUUGCAAUGUCCUCAAUGGCUCAUAAUGGACCAUUUCAUUGUUAAAUGUCUUUUAGUGACUCUCGUUGGUUGACCAGUAAUUAUGUGCAGACUUUUGCUUUGAAGCAAUAUCACUGCUACACUUGCGAAGCAGUGGCAGUGUUCAGGUCUUGCCUGCCUCGAUGACAUAUCUGCAUACAAGUAAUUAUGUGCAGACUUGGCUCUUUUUUUGGGAGCAGUACAGUUGCAAGAUAAAUCCUGUUUGUAAUUUUAUGAAUUAGUUGCUCAUUAAGGGCUUACGAAGGUUUUGAUGCCUUGCUGGCUUAUCUGCAUACCAGUAAAUAUGUGCAGAUUCAUUUCUUGCUUUGAAGCAAUAUCGUUGCUACACUCCUAAAGCAGUGGCAAUGUUCAGGUCUGUUCUGCCUUGCGGGCAAAUCUGCAUACGAGUAAUUAUGUGCAGACUUGGCUUUUCCAGAGAUUGUAGGACUGGGUCCAUUGAAUGUAACAAAAAUAAUCGAUGCCUAUUUACAAAUGAAAUGAAGAGUCUUCAUUUUGAUGCAACUCCAUGUAACUGUCGGGUGAUUUCGCUCUGAACUUGUGACACUCUGAUCGGUCUGAAAUAAUCAUUAUCCCGCCCCUCUGGGAAAAAUUUGCAGCCGGAUUGCACUAUUGCCUGUUACUGUCUGAGAGAUGGCAAUGUCGGGGGUUCAUGACGGUGGUUAAACCUAUUGCGAAUGGGCAGCACAAUUGGGUGUAGGAUAUUCAUAAACCAUUGCACACUCCUGAAUCUGCGGUGGGUUGGUACCCCACGCUAUGUAAGGAGUAGGUUUGUGGGUAAAACUUGGUCCACGUGAAUGGGUCGUGCCUUAAAAAUGAUGAGAAGUUGCGAAUUGACGCCCUGUGAAGUGUCCUUCGACCAGCUAGUGCUAAUCCGGUCACUGUCUCCAGGUCACCAUGCCUCGGUCAAUGAGCGGGCGAAGCACCCAAUGGCUCCGUCAGGAGUACAUCGUCAACUUCAGCCCGUAGACAAACCGGUACGCGCACAAAUAUCUUGGCUGAGAGUGGGGGACAUCAGUAAAGUGCUUCUCAUCGGGGUAAUACAGUACCACUGUAUACAAUGACCCCAUUUUUUGUUGGAUUCAUUUCCGCUGAGGAGUGGUCGAUAAUGAGAGUUUCGGGCCAGUCUGAUUGUCACCAGUCCAGAGGGAAAAUACCUGAUAGUUAUGUGGCUUUCCCUCAAACUGUAUACUCUUUCAUGUCGAUUGUAAAUUAGUGUUGCUCGGUAGUGUUCAGGGUCUUUUUGUCGAACAGGCACAUCUGCAUACCAGUAAUUAUGUGCAGACUUAAAUUUUGCUUUGAAGCAAUAUCACUGCUACACUUGUGAAGCAGUGGCAGUGUUCAGGUCUUGCCUGCCUCGAUGACAUAUCUGCAUACCAGUAAUUAUGUGCAGACUUUGCUCUUUUUUGGGGAGCAGUAUAGUUGCAAGAUAAAUCCUGUUUGUAAUUUUAUGAAUUAGUUGCUCAUUAAGGGCUUACGAAGGUUUUGAUGCCUUGCUGGCUUAUCUGCAUACCAGUAAAUAUGUGCAGAUUCAUUUCUUGCUUUGAAGCAAUAUCGUUGCUACACUCCUAAAGCAGUGGCAAUGUUCAGGUCUGUUCUGCCUUGCGGGCAAAUCUGCAUACGAGUAAUUAUGUGCAGACUUGGCUUUUCCAGAGAUUGUAGGACUGGGUCCAUUGAAUGUAACAAAAAUAAUCGAUGCCUAUUUACAAAUGAAAUGAAGAGUCUGCAUUUUGAUGCAACUCCAUGUAACUGUCGGGUGAUUUCGCUCUGAACUUGUGACACUCUGAUCGGUCUGAAAUAAUCAUUAUCCCGCCCCUCUGGGAAAAAUUUGCAGCCGGAUUGCACUAUUGCCUGUUACUGUCUGAGAGAUGGCAAUGUCAGGGGUUCAUGACGGUGGUUAAACCUAUUGCGAAUGGGCAGCACAAUUGGGUGUAGGAUAUUCAUAAACCAUUGCACACUCCUGAAUCUGCGGUGGGUUGGUACCCCACGCUAUGUAAGGAGUAGGUUUGUGGGUAAAACUUGGUCCACGUGAAUGGGUCGUGCCUUAAAAAUGAUGAGAAGUUGCGAAUUGACGCCCUGUGAAGUGUCCUUCGACCAGCUAGUGCUAAUCCGGUCACUGUCUCCAGGUCACCAUGCCUCGGUCAAUGAGCGGGCGAAGCACCCAAUGGCUCCGUCAGGAGUACAUCGUCAACUUCAGCCCGUAGACAAACCGGUACGCGCACAAAUAUCUUAGCUGAGAGUGGGGGACAUCAGUAAAGUGCUUCUCAUCGGGGUAAUACAGUACCACUGUAUACAAUGACCCCAUUUUUUGUUGGAUUCAUUUCCGCUGAGGAGUGGUCGAUAAUGAGAGUUUCGGGCCAGUCUGAUUGUCACCAGUCCAGAGGGAAAAUACCUGAUAGUUAUGUGGCUUUCCCUCAAACUGUAUACUCUUUCAUGUCGAUUGUAAAUUAGUGUUGCUCGGUAGUGUUCAGGGUCUUUUUGUCGAACAGGCACACCUGCAUACCAGUAAUUAUGUGCAGACUUAAGUUUUGCUUUGAAGAAAUAUCACUGCUACACUUGUGAAGCAGUGGCAGUGUUCAGGUCUUGCCUGCCUCGAUGACAUAUCUGCAUACCAGUAAUUAUGUGCAGACUUUGCUCUUUUUUGGGGAGCAGUAUAGUUGCAAGAUAAAUCCUGUUUGUAAUUUUAUGAAUUAGUUGCUCAUUAAGGGCUUACGAAGGUCUUGAUGCCUUGCUGGCUUAUCUGCAUACCAGUAAAUAUGUGCAGAUUCAUUUCUUGCUUUGAAGCAAUAUCGUUGCUACACUCCUAAAGCAGUGGCAAUGUUCAGGUCUGUUCUGCCUUGCGGGCAAAUCUGCAUACGAGUAAUUAUGUGCAGACUUGGCUUUUCCAGAGAUUGUAGGACUGGGUCCAUUGAAUGUAACAAAAAUAAUCGAUGCCUAUUUACAAAUGAAAUGAAGAGUCUGCAUUUUGAUGCAACUCCAUGUAACUGUCGGGUGAUUUCGCUCUGAACUUGUGACACUCUGAUCGGUCUGAAAUAAUCAUUAUCCCGCCCCUCUGGGAAAAAUUUGCAGCCGGAUUGCACUAUUGCCUGUUACUGUCUGAGAGAUGGCAAUGUCGGGGGUUCAUGACGGUGGUUAAACCUAUUGCGAAUGGGCAGCACAAUUGGGUGUAGGAUAUUCAUAAACCAUUGCACACUCCUGAAUCUGCGGUGGGUUGGUACCCCACGCUAUGUAAGGAGUAGGUUUGUGGGUAAAACUUGGUCCACGUGAAUGGGUCGUGCCUUAAAUAUGAUGAGAAGUUGCGAAUUGACGCCCUGUGAAGUGUCCUUCGACCAGCUAGUGCUAAUCCGGUCACUGUCUCCAGGUCACCAUGCCUCGGUCAAUGAGCGGGCGAAGCACCCAAUGGCUCCGUCAGGAGUACAUCGUCAACUUCAGCCCGUAGACAAACCGGUACGCGCACAAAUAUCUUAGCUGAGAGUGGGGGACAUCAGUAAAGUGCUUCUCAUCGGGGUAAUACAGUACCACUGUAUACAAUGACCCCAUUUUUUGUUGGAUUCAUUUCCGCUGAGGAGUGGUCGAUAAUGAGAGUUUCGGGCCAGUCUGAUUGUCACCAGUCCAGAGGGAAAAUACCUGAUAGUUAUGUGGCUUUCCCUCAAACUGUAUACUCUUUCAUGUCGAUUGUAAAUUAGUGUUGCUCGGUAGUGUUCAGGGUCUUUUUGUCGAACAGGCACAUCUGCAUACCAGUAAUUAUGUGCAGACUUAAAUUUUGCUUUGAAGAAAUAUCACUGCUACACUUGUGAAGCAGUGGCAGUGUUCAGGUCUUGCCUGCCUCGAUGACAUAUCUGCAUACCAGUAAUUAUGUGCAGACUUUGCUCUUUUUUGGGGAGCAGUAUAGUUGCAAGAUAAAUCCUGUUUGUAAUUUUAUGAAUUAGUUGCUCAUUAAGGGCUUACGAAGGUCUUGAUGCCUUGCUGGCUUAUCUGCAUACCAGUAAAUAUGUGCAGAUUCAUUUCUUGCUUUGAAGCAAUAUCGUUGCUACACUCCUAAAGCAGUGGCAAUGUUCAGGUCUGUUCUGCCUUGCGGGCAAAUCUGCAUACGAGUAAUUAUGUGCAGACUUGGCUUUUCCAGAGAUUGUAGGACUGGGUCCAUUGAAUGUAACAAAAAUAAUCGAUGCCUAUUUACAAAUGAAAUGAAGAGUCUGCAUUUUGAUGCAACUCCAUGUAACUGUCGGGUGAUUUCGCUCUGAACUUGUGACACUCUGAUCGGUCUGAAAUAAUCAUUAUCCCGCCCCUCUGGGAAAAAUUUGCAGCCGGAUUGCACUUAUGCCUGUUACUGUCUGAGAGAUGGCAAUGUCAGGGGUUCAUGACGGUGGUUAAACCUAUUGCGAAUGGGCAGCACAAUUGGGUGUAGGAUAUUCAUAAACCAUUGCACACUCCUGAAUCUGCGGUGGGUUGGUACCCCACGCUAUGUAAGGAGUAGGUUUGUGGGUAAAACUUGGUCCACGUGAAUGGGUCGUGCCUUAAAAAUGAUGAGAAGUUGCGAAUUGACGCCCUGUGAAGUGUCCUUCGACCAGCUAGUGCUAAUCCGGUCACUGUCUCCAGGUCACCAUGCCUCGGUCAAUGAGCGGGCGAAGCACCCAAUGGCUCCGUCAGGAGUACAUCGUCAACUUCAGCCCGUAGACAAACCGGUACGCGCACAAAUAUCUUAGCUGAGAGUGGGGGACAUCAGUAAAGUGCUUCUCAUCGGGGUAAUACAGUACCACUGUAUACAAUGACCCCAUUUUUUGUUGGAUUCAUUUCCGCUGAGGAGUGGUCGAUAAUGAGAGUUUCGGGCCAGUCUGAUUGUCACCAGUCCAGAGGGAAAAUACCUGAUAGUUAUGUGGCUUUCCCUCGAACUGUAUACUCUUUCAUGUCAAUUGUAAAUUAGUGUUGCUCGGUAGUGUUCAGGGUCUUUUUGUCGAACAGGCACAUCUGCAUACCAGUAAUUAUGUGCAGACUUAAGUUUUGCUUUGAAGCAAUAUCACUGCUACACUUGCACAUCUGCACGAUAGUUAUGUGGCAUUCCUUCAAACUGUUUACUCUUUCGUGUCAUUUAUAAAUUCGUGUUGCUCAUUUGUGACCCGUCACAGUAAAACCAGGCGCAUGUCGCUCUGAGCUUGGCAGGUUGAGACAGACUGUUUGUUCAUUUCUCUGUUGUCUGCCUUUUGUGAAAUAGGAGCAUAUUAAUUUCUUCCAUUAUCUCCUGGUGUCAUUUAGGCUCAUCCUCUGUGCGACAAGCGCCUGAUUUCGCUGUGACGGGUCACAUUUUAUCUUGCAUCUCAUGGGCAGAAAGGAACAGUCUGGUGGAGUCCUGAUGCUCCUUGAUGUUGGUCUUUUACUGGAGAUCAUAAUCACUCUGGUCAGUUCCGCGAUUCCCUUUUACCAAGAGCAAGCCCAUGAGGCCUACAACCUGUCACUGUU